rnacentral:rRNA from 1 species
AUUGAACGCUGGCGGCAUGCUUUACACAUGCAAGUCGAACGGUAACAGGGUGCUUGCACCGCUGACGAGUGGCGAACGGGUGAGUAAUGCGUCGGAACGUGCCGAGUAGUGGGGGAUAACGCAGCGAAAGUUGUACUAAUACCGCAUACGUACUGAGGUAGAAAGUGGGGGACCUUCGGGCCUCACGCUAUUCGAGCGGCCGACGUCUGAUUAGCUAGUAGGUGAGGUAAAGGCUCACCUAGGCGACGAUCAGUAGCGAGUCUGAGAGGAUGAUCCGCCACACUGGGACUGAGACACGGCCCAGACUCCUACGGGAGGCAGCAGUGGGGAAUUUUGGACAAUGGGCGAAAGCCUGAUCCAGCCAUGCCGCGUGUCUGAAGAAGGCCUUCGGGUUGUAAAGGACUUUUGUCAGGGAGGAAAUCCCUAGUGCUAAUAACACUGGGGGAUGACAGUACCUGAAGAAUAAGCACCGGCUAACUACGUGCCAGCCGCCGCGGUAA